rnacentral:rRNA from 1 species
UACGGAGGGUGCAAGCGUUGCUCGGAAUUAUUGGGCGUAAAGGGUAGGUAGGUGGUCUCAUUUGUCUGGGGUGAAAUCCUUGGGCUUAACUCAAGUAGUGCCCUAGAAACGGUGAGACUUUCGAGUCCUGGAGAGGCUAGUGGAAUUCCCGGUGUAGCGGUGAAAUGCGUAGAGAUCGGGAGGAACACCAGAGGCGAAGGCGGCUAGCUGGACAGGCACUGACACUCAACUACGAAAGCGUGGGGAGCAAACAG